CCUACGGGAGGCAGCAGUGAGGAAUAUUGGUCAAUGGCCGUAAGGCUGAACCAGCCAAGUCGCGUGAAGGAAGAAGGAUCUAUGGUUUGUAAACUUCUGUUAUAGGGGAAUAAAGGUAUCCACGUGUGGAUAUUUGCAUGUACCCUAUGAAUAAGCAUCGGCUAACUCCGUGCCAGUAGCCGCGGUAAUCCUGAGGAUGCGAGCGUUGUCCGGAAUUAUUGGGUUUAAAGGGUGCGUAGGUUGUUUUUUAAGUCAGCGGUGAAAGUUUGUGGCUCAACCAUAAAAUUGCCGUUGAAACUGGAAGACUUGAGUGAGUUUGAGGUAAGCGGAAUGCGUGGUGUAGCAGUGAAAUGCAUAGAUAUCACGAAGAACUCCGAUUGCGAAGGCAGCUUACUAGGCCAUAACUGACACUGAAGCACGAAGGCGUGGGGAUCGAAAAGGAUUAGAUACCCCAGUAGUC
rnacentral:rRNA from 1 species